AUAUGAGAAACUUUCCAAAGUGAAUUGAUACUUGUUUUUAAAACUAUUUUUGGUGCCUUUAAUUUGCUUAAAUUCCACCAACUUUUAAGUUACCUAUUUUACAUGAAAUUUAGGAAAGAGAAAAGAAGAAAAUAAACUCUUUAACAAGAAGUAAUUGCCUUAAUUUCUAGUUAUCUACUUUAUUUUAGUGUUUUGUAUUUAAUUUAGUUUGUAAAGUUCUGUAAUUCUGGAUCUGGUUGAAUGAAAAACUCCAUUUGCGAUAAUGCUUGUUAAUGUUGUUCAUCUGAUGUGUUUGGAAACUGCAGUCAUGCGUUAAUGUGGUUUUGG
rnacentral:misc_RNA from 1 species